rnacentral:rRNA from 1 species
CUGCUGCCUCCCGUAGGAGUCUGGUCCGUGUCUCAGUACCAGUGUGGGGGACCUUCCUCUCAGAACCCCUAGACAUCGUCGCCUUGGUGGGCCGUUGCCCCGCCAACUAGCUAAUGUCACGCAUGCCCAUCCGUUGCCGGAAUCGCUCCCUUUGGCCGCAGGGCCAUGCAGCCCCGCGGCGUUACGCGGUAUUAGACGGGAUUUCUCCCGAUUAUCCCCCUGCAACGGGCAGGUCGCAUACGCGUUACUCACCCGUGCGCCGG